rnacentral:rRNA from 1 species
AUUGAACGCUGGCGGCAGGCCUAACACAUGCAAGUCGAACGAGUGGCGGACGGGUGAGUAAUGUGUGGGAAACUGCCCGAUGGAGGGGGAUAACUACUGGAAACGGUAGCUAAUACCGCAUACCAUCGGAUGUGCCCAGAUGGGAUUAGCUAGUAGGUGGGGUAACGGCUCACCUAGGCGACGAUCCCUAGCUGGUCUGAGAGGAUGACCAGCCACACUGGAACGUAGACACGGUCCAGACGCCUCCGGGAGGCAGCAGUGGGGAAUAUUGCACAAUGGGCGCAAGCCUGAUGCGGCCAUGCCGCGUGUAUGAAGAAGGCUUUCGGGUUGUAAAGUACUUUCAGCGAGGAGGCGUUACCCACAGAAGAAGCACCGGCUAACUCCGUGCCAGCAGCCGCGGUAAUAC